GAUUGAUUUUUUUUCCUCCUGGUUAUGGGUUAUUUUUCUUUGCAUUCCCGAUAAUUUUUGCUUGGGUACCAGAUACACAUUGUUAGGUGCUAGGUUUUGUUGUAUUUCUUUAAAUAGUGCUGGACUUCGUUCUGGCGUCCAGUCAAGGUACUGGGAGUUAGUUGUGUCAUUUUGAAGCUAGCUUUUAGGCUGUGUUAGGGUGGGUCCAAAGCAGCCUUUAGUUUAGGGAUGACUUGGCUUUAAUACUAAGGUGCUAGCUUUCUGGGGAUUUUAAUCUGAUGCCAUGUGUAUUACGAAUUAUUUCCACUUUUGCCUCUGGAAGCAUGAACUAUUACCAGCCCUGUGUGAACUCUGGGACUUCUUAGACAAACCGUUUUCUGGUGCUUCUCUCCCUGACUUUAGGUAGUCUCCUCUCACACAGAUCAGAACUCAACCCAAGGCUCUCGGGGACCUCUGGGCUCCCCUCCUCCCAGGAGGGAGGCAGUUUCUUUAGGAGGAAAAUAUGUGGUGUCCUUUGCAGAUGGAAGGGGCUGUGCAUGUUUGAAGGCAUCAUGCUUUCCUGGUGGAAUUGGCACCAUUUGAAUUAAGAAGUCAUGUUUCCGAGUCUGAGGAUGAGAACACCAAGUUGUUACUUAUUUUGGAAAGAACUAAGCAUUUGUUUAUAUAAAGAAAUCCUUCUCUGGGAAGCUGUGGUGAGAAGGAUUCUACGCUGUACUGCCUGCGUCAGGUUCUCUGGCAAGACCUUCACAACUUCGGUGUACUGGAGGAUAAUGCAACUUGGGUUCUUCCUUGGUAGACAGCCGGUUAAAAGGGGAUGGGGCUAGGGUUGCAGAGAGGAAGCUGCUCAGAGCAGGCUUGGAGGAGAGGAAGUAGCCUGCGUCUAUUCAGUGUCAGAGCACACUCAGUAUGACCCUGGGCAUCCAGUGUCCGUUACACCCAGCGCACUCUUUUAAAAUGGCUAACAUUUCAGUGUUUUGGCAUUGAAAAGUAAGCGUUAGUUAUUUGAAAAAUUUCACUUAUGCGUAACCCCCUUAUUUUUCUGUGGUACAGGACAGGUAAGGUAUAUCAGUUGGCCUGGGUAGAAUUUAAAUCGGUGUUAACAGUGUAAUCUCUGAGGAUGCUAGCUUUCUUUCCUGAGGUGUCAGCCCAGGUACUUAACGGCACCUCCUCCUGGAAAUUUUCUCGAAUAUCUGUCACUACUUUCAGGUACAUCUCAUAUUUUAAACCGUGUUCCUAGGUUACUUAAUGACUUGAGCACAUAUAGCAGAGAUAGACAGGCAGGCCAUUGAUUUUUGAGAUAAAGAACAACUAUAUAGCCAGGGAGGGAAUGACACAAUCAGUUUAUAAG